rnacentral:tRNA from 1 species
GGGCCCGUAGUAUAGCUUGGAUAUCACGGGGGCCUCCGGAGCCUCAAACCCGGGUUCGAAUCCCGGCGGGCCCG